GGUCAGUGAUGAUGGAUAAACGCUCUGAUGGCACUUUAUUAAAUGGCCACAUGCUUGCUCCCAGGGGCUCCUUUAUUUUCCAUUCUGCUCCAGUUGUGCUCUGAUGGAAAUGGAGCUCCUGACAGUGACCGAUGUUGUUGUUUCAGUCGAUGUUCUCACAGAGAGAUGUGGAAUGUCUCUAUAGCGCGCAUCUUACAGAAUUCAUCCCACAGGAGCUUUCGAGCAUGGUGGGAUUUAUCUCUGGUGCAUGCUUGCAAGUUUUCAAGCUGAGACC